UACGUAGGGGGCAAGCGUUGUUCGGAAUGACUGGGCGUAAAGGGUGUGUAGGUGGUUUGAUAAGUUAGAUGUGUAAUACCCAGGGCUUAACUCGGGUGCUGCAUCUAAAACUGUUAGACUUGAGUACUGGGGAGGAUAGUGGAAUUCCUAGUGUAGCGGUGGAAUGCGUAGAUAUUAGGAGGAACAUCAGUGGCGAAGGCGACUAUCUGGACAGCAACUGACACUGAGGCACGAAAGCGUGGGGAGCAAACAGG
rnacentral:rRNA from 1 species